rnacentral:tRNA from 1 species
UAUAAAUAUGCAGGCCAUAAAAGUAUUAGUGACUGGGUGUAAUGGUCAGGUCGGCAGGUGUUUAGUUACACAAAUGCAGACUAUGUCCUCU